rnacentral:misc_RNA from 1 species
UCCGAGUUGACCCCGGCAGUCCCCCAUGAGUCCCCGGCCGAACCGCUGGCAACAUGAGGCAAGGGUUGCGCUCGUUGCGGGACUUAACCCAACAUCUCACGACACGAGCUGACGACAACCAUGCACCACCUGUACACCCCCAACUAAAUGAAGCACCAUCUCUGGCACGCCAGGGUGUAUGUCAAACCCAGGUAAGGUUCUUCGCGUUGCAUCGAAUUAAGCCGCAUGCUCCGCCGCUUGUGCGGGCCCCCGUCAAUUCCUUUGAGUUUUAGCCUUGCGGCCGUACUCCCCAGGCGGGGCGCUUAAUGCGUUAGCUACGGCACAGCAACCGUGAACCAGUCGCCACACCUAGCGCCCAACGUUUACAGCAUGGACUAC